UACGAAGGGGGCUAGCGUUGCUCGGAAUCACUGGGCGUAAAGCGCACGUAGGCGGCUUUCUAAGUCAGGGGUGAAAUCCUGGAGCUCAACUCCAGAACUGCCUUUGAUACUGGAGAGCUUGAGUCCGGAAGAGGUGAGUGGAACUCCGAGUGUAGAGGUGAAAUUCGUAGAUAUUCGGAAGAACACCAGUGGCGAAGGCGGCUCACUGGUCCGGUACUGACGCUGAGGCACGAAAGCGUGGGGAGCAAACAGGG
rnacentral:rRNA from 1 species